rnacentral:rRNA from 1 species
GAUUAUGGCUCAGGACGAACGCUGGCGGCAUGCCUAACACAUGCAAGUCGAACGGGGGUAGCAAUACCCUAGUGGCGAACGGGUGAGUAACACAUAAGCAAUCUGCCCUUCACAGGGGGAUAACAGCGGGAAACUGCUGCUAAUACCGCAUAAGACCACGGUACCGCAUGGUACAGGGGUAAGAACGAAUCAGUGGUGAAGGAUGAGCUUAUGUCCCAUUAGCUAGUUGGUGAGAUAACAGCCCACCAAGGCGACGAUGGGUAGCCGACCUGAGAGGGUGAUCGGCCACACUGGAACUGAGACACGGUCCAGACUCCUACGGGAGGCAGCAGUGGGGAAUAUUGGGCAAUGGAGGAAACUCUUACCCAGUAAUGCCGCGUGAGUGAAGAAGGUCUUCGGAUUGUAAAGCUCUUUGAUUGGGGACGAAGAAAGUGACGGUACCCAAAGAACAAGCCCCGGCUAACUACGUGCCAGCCGCGGC